CACCGCCCGUCACAUCAUGGGAGUUGGUUUUACCCGAAGCCGCUGGCUCAACCGCAAGGAGAGAAGCGUCGAAGGUAUGGCCGAUGACUGGGAUG
rnacentral:rRNA from 1 species